rnacentral:lncRNA from 1 species
UAUUUUCUCCCUCACCCACUUUCCACUCAACGCAACUCUCAAACCACCCAAUCUUCAUUUUGCCCCCCACAUACCUUUGAAAGGUCUCUCCACCAAAUGGAUGUCUCACUUCUAUUCAUCCCCUUACAAAGUCUUCUUUAUCCUAUUCUUAUCUUAUCAUAUUCUUAUUCUAUUCAUAUAUCCUAUCUUGACCACCAAAUGAGUCCUUAUACUUAUAAUCGAGACCAGCAGGAAUAAGGUCGUGAUAAUCCAGCUAUAUGAAUUAUGGUGUAAUGAGAGACAACCUUACCCAUUGUAAUUUUAACGAACUCCAUUAUUCUCAAAGUUACCAUUGCAUGUUGAACC